rnacentral:rRNA from 1 species
AAUAGAUACCCAGGUAGUCCAUGCCGUAAACGUUGGGAACUAGAUGUGGGGACCAUUCCACGGUCUCCGUGUCGCAGCUAACGCAUUAAGUUCCCCGCCUGGGGAGUACGGCCGCAAGGCUAAAACUCAAAGGAAUUGACGGGGGCCCGCACAAGCGGCGGAGCAUGCGGAUUAAUUCGAUGCAACGCGAAGAACCUUACCAAGGCUUGACAUAUACGAGAACGCCGUAGAAAUACGGAACUCUUUGGACACUCGUAUACAGGUGGUGCAUGGUUGUCGUCAGCUCGUGUCGUGAGAUGUUGGGUUAAGUCCCGCAACGAGCGCAACCCUCGUCGUAUGUUGCCAGCACGUAAUGGUGGGAACUCAUAUGAGACUGCCGGGGUCAACUCGGAGGAAGGUGGGGAUGAGGUCAAAUCAUCAUGCCCCUUAUGUCUUGGGCUUCACGCAUGCUACAAUGGCCGGUACAAAGGGCUGCAAUACCGCGAGGUGGAGCGAAUCCCAAAAAGCCGGUCUCAGUUCGGAUUGAGGUCUGCAACC